rnacentral:rRNA from 1 species
GAUGAACGCUGGCGGCGCGCCUAAUACAUGCAAGUCGAGCGAACGGACGAGAAGCUUGCUUCUCUGAUGUUAGCGGCGGACGGGUGAGUAACACGUGGAUAACCUACCUAUAAGACUGGGAUAACUUCGGGAAACCGGAGCUAAUACCGGAUAAUAUUUUGAACCGCAUGGUUCAAAAGUGAAAGACGGUCUUGCUGUCACUUAUAGAUGGAUCCGCGCUGCAUUAGCUAGUCGGUAAGGUAACGGCUUACCAAGGCAACGAUGCAUAGCCGACCUGAGAGGGUGAUCGGCCACACUGGAACUGAGACACGGUCCAGACUCCUACGGGAGGCAGCAGUAGGGAAUCUUCCGCAAUGGGCGAAAGCCUGACGGAGCAACGCCGCGUGAGUGAUGAAGGUCUUCGGAUCGUAAAACUCUGUUAUUAGGGAAGAACAUAUGUGUAAGUAACUGUGCACAUCUUGACGGUACCUAAUCAGAAAGCCACGGCUAACUACGUG